GACCAGGAAAAAAAAACACAGAUAUGGAUUUAUUAAGAUUUUUUCUUUAAUAAUAAACUGUGCCAAUAGAAGCUUUCAGAAGCGUUUAUAUAACAAUAAAUAACUUAAAAUGAGUUCCUGAGAAAGAAACUGCCAUGUUAAAAGCGGUCAGAUAGGUGUAUAAAACAAAAUAUUGUAAUUAUAAAAGAAAGCCGUAAUACUGAAUCUUAAAAGUCACAAGCGUAUCCUAAGCCAAGCACAACGCUCAUAACAGAGUAAAUAAAUACACAAAAAUGACGAAACUUUGACUAAACAGAGAGAGCAAUUGAUAGCUCUUGCCAAAAAUGCACAAUUACUUCUAUCAGCCCCAACCAGACCCUGGCUGACUGGGUAGGUAGAAUGAGCUAUAAACUCCCUAUUAUGUGUUACAGAGUUUGACAUCAAAACAGUUGUGUUAUGGCUUAACCCUUUCAGUGGCAUGCUGCCUUCUUUUCAUUAUGGGGAAUGAUGAUAAAUAAAACAGUUUAUAACACUGCAUAUGAAAUAAAAAUUAAAAACUUAAAUCUUUACCCAAAUAUUUUACAAAUCUAAUAUUUGAUGAACAUUUUGGGCUGAGCUUGAGUUGUAUUUUUCAGCCUAUAUAUAAAGACAUUAAAAAAAUAUAACUAUGAACUAAUUUUUCUUUUUCACGCAAUAUAUUUCAGAGUUAAAUUAGGUGGAAAACUAUUCAGAUGUCAUAAUUCAAUUUUUUAGAGAUUUUGGAAUUGAGAAAUGCACGGUGUGUGUAUACACACAGAAUUCUUUACUUAAAUCGCUCUCAGUUAUUAAUUCUUAAAUUACAUACUGCUGUAACACCAACAAGAAUCAGCCUUCACUUUUUUGGGAGCUGUUAAAAGGAAAGUUAUUUUGGAAUGUUACUGUACAACAGUAACAUUAAAUGGAUCCUACAGUGCCAGGAAAACAAACCUGUUUUCCUGGCACUAUAGGCUCUUGGAGAGCCCCCCCUCCAUCGGGGUUUAAAACCCCUUCAGCCACUUACCUUAAUCCAGCGCCGGGCUCCCUUGGCACUGGUGACCUCUCCUCCCCCGCCGACGUCAGCUCCCUAGUGGAGCCGAAUGCGCACGCGUGGCCAGAGGCGCGCGUGCAUUCAAACCUGCCCAUAGGAAAGCAUUACUCAGUGCUUUCCUAUCGGGAUCUGAAAUGACACUGGACUCUGCGAGGACGUCCAGCGUUAGAUAAGUGCGAUUUACUCCAUGUAAAUCGCGAAAGCGCCUCUAGUGGCUGUCAGGGAGAGUCACUAGAGGCUGGAUUAACCCUCAGUGUAAACAUAACAUUGGUUUAAGUUUAUGUAAAAAUAUAUUGUGGGAGGAAAAAACAUCUGUAAAAUUAAUUCUUGUGUCAAUGCCUUAAAGGACCACUAUAGGCACCCAGACCACUUCAGCUCAAUGAAGUGGUCUGGGUGCCAGGUCCAUCUAGGAUUAACCCUUUCUGCUGUAAACAUAGCCGUUUCAGAGAAACGGCUAUGUUUACAAAUGGGUUAAUCCAACCUCUAGUGGCUGUCUCAUUGACAGCCGUUAGAGGCGCUUCCACACUUCUCACUGUGAUUUUCACAGUGAGAAGACGCCAGCGUCCAUAUGGACAGGCUGAAUGCACGCGAGGCUCAUGCGCCUUCAGCCGAUGACGGGGAAAGGAGGAGGAGAGUCCCCAGCACAGAGGGAGCCCGGCACUGGAAAAAAGGUAAGGGAUUAACCCCUUAAUCACCCUAGAGCCCGGCGGGAGGAGGCCCAAGGACCCUAUAGAGCCAGGAAAACAAGUAUAUUUUCCUGGCAUUAUAGUGGUCCUUUAAGUGUCCCUUUAAUGACACCUUUAAUGACACCUGCCACCUCAACUAUUCAGGAAUCUAUAACUUAUCGUAGUCUACCAUAUGCACAAGGUUUUAGAGUACUGCUGUACCCUCUGUGAUCCCUUUCAGCUGUGAUUUCUUCCAGCUGAAGUGGUAGAGGUUAACACAGUGAAGGAGUUUAAGCAUGCGUGGGAUGGACAGAAGGCUAUCCUAACUAUAAGAUAAGGCCAGGGACUAAUGAAAGUAUUUAGAAAAUUGGGCAGACUAGAUGGGCCGAAUGGUUCUCAUCUGCCGUCACAUUCUAUGUUUCUAUCCCCUACAGUAAAACCAGUCCACAUAUGAUGAUGAUUGGGUGAUUUCACAUUAAUGACCAUAUUGGCAAAGUUGUCUUGACAAGCUCAAGGCUAAAGUGACAUGGAUUCCUAUCACGUAUAGUGCUAAGGGCAAGCUGCAGAAUCACUUUCAGAUUACACCACUUCUUCCUGUAUUGCAAAUAAUUAAUAGAAUAAAAGAAUCAGAACAAAAAAAAAUACCAAAAAACGGCAAAAAGUGCUUCCAACUAACAGUCUAUAAACAUACAUGUGCUCACAUAAGUGUUGUGUAUCAGUGAACAUCACCCCAGAAGGGAUCUUGGAACAUUGCGAAACUGACAUCACUACUAAUAUGUGAGGGAUCUCCAUUAUCAAAGUGAAGUUUUUUUUACUUUAAAAUAUUAAAAUUGUAUCUAAUAAAAAGAAAAUAUUCUCCAUCUUAACAAGAAUUGAGGCCCUAGCAAGAAGAAAUAAAGAUCUGAUUUGCAGUUUUGUAUAAAAAUAUCUGUUUAAAGUAGUGAAAUUAUAAAUGAAAUUUUUUUACAGUUUUUUUGGUUUCAACAUUCGAGUACAGGCGUACAAAACAUUUUUUUUUUUUUUUUUAACCGUUGUAAAAGAAGCAAACAAUCUCAAUCAAAACAUCCUUGAAUAAAAAACAUAUUGCUAUUUUGUACUUGUUAAAAAUAAAAUUUAAAAAUCACGGGGCCGGCCCAUGUACCGGAAAGUCACAAUGUAUUAUGUGUAAAUCAGAACACAGUAUUUAAUUCAUACAUUAUACUACCACACUCUUAAUAUAGAUAUCUCACCAAACCAUUACACAGCAGCUGAAAGCCUGCCCUUCUUUGGUAUAGGGGCAUUGAACAGAGACAAAAUGUCACUAUUUUAAAAAGGUACACAAAAAAAAAAAAAAAAGUAAAAAAUCAGUUAUGUGAAUAUACGACAGUAACAACUAAAAGCAAUGAAAACGCAGACUACAUUUUAAAAAAUAUAUUGCACAGAAAAAUUCUAUCACAUAUUCUUGGGUUAAAUAGUCCUCUUGUAAGUUGUAUGUUAGGUGAAAUCCCAACUCUAGUAACUACGUAUAUAUUUAUUUAUAGAACUUUGUUUAAAAUUUACAAUUUACAUUAUUUUUUUUUACCUAUUUGAUUACGUAGCCUUACUUUUUUUUUCUUCAAUGUGUAUGCAUAAUACUCGUUAGAGAUCAGCAUUUAAAAAAAAAAAAAAACUUAAUAAAACAUGGUUUCCAUUUGGUUACAUAUUCCACAUUGUGUAUUUUGUGUAUAACAAAAAAUGAUGGCUUUGCAUUACAUUCCUCAUCAUGCCUAGUCGAAACAGCUGUGCUGUGUUGGAGCUGUUGGCAUUGUAAUCCAGGGGAUGAAAUGGAUUUGACAUUUGAAUCUGAAUUCUUUACAAAACUUGUUAACAUUGCAAAAUCCUCUAUCAAUCUGCUCAGACCUGACUGAAGGUUCUAUUAAGAUUUUUGGCAAUGUUUAAAGAGGAACGGUCACUUCUCAGGAUUUGUAAUAUUACUUAUAUGUAUAUUUAACAAAUCUGUAUAUAUAAAAUUAAUGUCGUAUUCACACCUCUUUAACAUGCAUAUGUGCCUUCAUUUUAGCUCCUGUUCAGUCUUUGUUAUUAAGCUCUGUUCUCUGCUCCUGGCAGGCAGGAUGGAUAACUUAUACAAAGAGGAUACAUGAAAUAAGGUUUCUAUUUCUCCUCUUAAAGGACCACUCUAGGCACCCAGACCACUUCAGCUUAAUGAAGUGGUCUGGGUGCCUGGUCCAGCUAGGGUUAACCCAUUUUUUAAUAAACAUAGCAGUUUCAGAGAAACUGCUAUGUUUAUCAAUGGGUUAAGCCUUCCCCCUAAUUCUCUAGUGGCUGUCUCAUUG
rnacentral:lncRNA from 1 species